GACAGAGGGUGCAAACGUUGUUCGGAAUUACUGGGCGUAAAGCGUGUGUAGGCGGCUAGGUAAGUCGGAUGUGAAAGCCCCGGGCUCAACUCGGGAAGUGCACUCGAUACUGCUUAGCUCGAGUACCGGAGAGGUUGGUGGAAUUCUCGGUGUAGAGGUGAAAUUCGUAGAUAUCGAGAGGAACACCGGUGGCGAAGGCGGCCAACUGGACGAGUACUGACGCUGAGACACGAGAGCGUGGGGAGCAAACAGG
rnacentral:rRNA from 1 species